GACGAACGCUGGCGGCGUGCUUAACACAUGCAAGUCGAACGGAAAGGCCCUGCUUUUGUGGGGUGCUCGAGUGGCGAACGGGUGAGUAACACGUGAGUAACCUGCCCUUGACUUUGGGAUAACUUCAGGAAACUGGGGCUAAUACCGGAUAGGAGCUCCUGCUGCAUGGUGGGGGUUGGAAAGUUUCGGCGGUUGGGGAUGGACUCGCGGCUUAUCAGCUUGUUGGUGGGGUAGUGGCUUACCAAGGCUUUGACGGGUAGCCGGCCUGAGAGGGUGACCGGCCACAUUGGGCCUGAGAUACGGCCCAGACUCCUACGGGAGGCAGCAGCGGGGAAUAUUGCACAAUGGGCGGAAGCCUGAUGCAGCAACGCCGCGUGCUGGAUGACUGCCUUCGGGUUGUAAACCGCUUUCGCCUGUGACGAAGCGUGAGUGACGGUAAUGGUUAAAGAAGCACCGGCUAACUACGUG
rnacentral:rRNA from 1 species